rnacentral:rRNA from 1 species
GAUGAACGCUGGCGGCGUGCCUAAUACAUGCAAGUCGAACGGACAGCCUUCGGGCUGUGAGUGGCGAACGGGUGAGUAACGCGUUGGUGACCUGCCCCGAAAUGUGGGAUACCAGCUCGAAAGGGCUGCUAAUACCGCAUGUGAUCCCCGGGAUUAGAAUCUGGGGAUGAAAGGCUCGUAAGAGUCGUUUUGGGAGGGACCUGCGUCCCAUCAGCUAGUUGGUAGGGUAGUGGCCUACCAAGGCGAUGACGGGUAGGGGACCUGAGAGGGUGGCCCCCCACAAUGGAACUGAAACACGGUCCAUACACCUACGGGUGGCAGCAGUAGGGAAUAUUGCAAAAUGGGCGAAAGCCCGAUGCAGCAACGCCGCGUGCGCGAUGAAGGCCUUCGGGUCGUAAAGCGCUUUUCGAGGGGAUGAGGAAGGACAGUACCCUCGGAAUAAGUCUCGGCUAACUACGUGCCAGCAGCCGCGGUAAAACGUAGGAGGCAAGCGUUAUCCGGAUUUACUGGGCGUAAAGCGCGUGCAGGCGGCUUGGCAAGUUGGAUGUGAAAGCUCCCGGCUCAACUGGGAGAGGUCGUUCAAUACUGCUAAGCUAGAGGGUGGUAGAGGGAGGUGGAAUUCCGGGUGUAGUGGUGAAAUGCGUAGAUAUCCGGAGGAACACCAGUGGCGAAAGCGGCCUUCUGGACCAUUCCUGACGCUCAGACGCGAAAGCUAGGGUAGCAAACGGGAUUAGAGACCCCGGUAGUCCUAGCCGUAAACUAUGUCGACUUGGCGUCGGUGGGUUCAAAUCCAUCGGUGCCGCAGCUAACGCGAUAAGUCGACCGCCUGGGGACUACGGCCGCAAGGUUA